AUGGAUAAUCCUUGCACAUUGCCCACACAUGUUGCCAUCCAGAAGCUCCUCCAGUGCAAACCCAUGGGACAAAGCACCAACAAGGAAUGGCCCCCAGGAAUCCUUUUUUCAGCUGCAGUCAGAAACAUCCACCUUGCCAGACACAGAGAGGCAGGGAGUCCAACACGGACAACUUCCAGCCUUUUAACACAAGGAGACAACCAGGCCAGGGAUGCCAUCCAAGGCACAAGGGCGCAUGAUAUUCCUGUGGGAAGACGGGGCACUGUACCAAGACUUGGCCCAUCGGGAAACAAGGAUUCAGCCAAGUUUCAAAGCUUCCCUGACAGCAUUUCUGUAGUCUGCAGUGCGCUCAGAGGAGAGCCUUCACCCGCUGCAUGGGGACUUGUCGCUGAUCUGAAGCUACCUCUGCUGAAUAUCAGGGAAAUCAUAAGCACUGGCCUGUGCUGCUUCACGCACCUUCCUCGCCUGGAGGCAAAUGAAGCCCAUCAACAUGGAGCUCCAGCAAGGUGCCGUGCUUCACUUUUUAUUGCACUCUUCAUGGAGACUGGAGAGCAAAAUCACCAGCAGGUUUCUACCUUUGUGGUAUUCCUGCUCCAGGAGAGACAUUGGCUUGCCUCUUGCAAACGCUGCAUCUGUUGGAAUGCUGCACGGUCAGAAAAGACACCCACCAUGCCUGAAUGGAUAUUGCUGGGGCUUGCUGCCACUUCAUCGCAGAGCAAGGACUGA
rnacentral:lncRNA from 1 species